UACGGAGGGUGCAAGCAUUAAUCGGAUUUAUUGGGCGUAAAGGGCGCGUAGGCGGUGGAUUAAGUCAGAUGUGAAAUCCCGAGGCUCAACCUCGGAACAGCAUAUGAAACUAAUUUACUAGAGGAUAGACGGAGAAAACGGAAUUCCACAAGUAGCGGUGAAAUGCGUAGAUAUGUGGAAGAACACCUGUGGCGAAAGCGGUUUUCUAGUUUAGACCUGACGCUGAGGCGCGAAAGCAAGGGGAUCAAACAGG
rnacentral:rRNA from 1 species